UACAGACUAUCCUAUAAAUUACCAUCGACUACAGGCAAGAAUUGAACAGGAUUGACAAGAUGUCUGGACGUAUUUUCUGCCUUGUCUUGGUACUAUUUAGUUUGAUAGCUCUCCAGGAUGAAGUUAAAGGUUUAAAAAGAGAUGAACGGAAUAUACCAGAUCAGAAAUCUUCCUCUGGAAAACCUGAUACAAAAGAGACUCGGCAAGUGCCUGGUAUCAGAGGUAUCGCUGGAUUGAAGAGACGCUAUUAUUCUACAUAAACGAAAAAAAUUGAUGGCGAUCAGAAAUAAAAAGAGCUGAGAGAAAUAAGUUUUAGAAUUUUGACAAUUCAAUCAUCUAUCUGUUUAUCUGUACCGUUAGAACGACAAAAGGUGUCAUCCAUCUCUUUACCUAUCUAAACUUAUUUUCAAUUCAUCCAUUUUAUCAUUUCAAUCGAAUGCUGGCAUUGCAUUGCUCAUUCAAGAA